UACGGAGGGGGCUAGCGUUGUUCGGAAUUACUGGGCGUAAAGCGCACGUAGGCGGCUUUGUAAGUUAGAGGUGAAAGCCCGGGGCUCAACUCCGGAAUUGCCUUUAAGACUGCAUCGCUAGAAUUGUGGAGAGGUAAGUGGAAUUCCGGGUGUAGAGGUGAAAUUCGUAGAUAUUCGCAAGAACACCGGUGGCGAAGGCGGCUCACUGGCCCGAUACUGACGCUGAGGUGCGAAAGCGUGGGGAGCAAACAGG
rnacentral:rRNA from 1 species